rnacentral:snoRNA from 2 species
CCCCUUUCUGGAUUGCACCUGGAGAGUUUCCAGUACUCUACCAGUCUCAGCUAUGGGAGGGAGAGUCAAGCAGAGGCAUGCCCAUUCCAUUCCUAGCUUGGGCAGUGACUAGUCAGUGGAAGGCAAUCUGUAGAAAGC